AUUAUUUUUUUCUUCAUUGAACUCCAUAUGAAUGUUCAUUUCUUAGAUAGAAAGUAGGAAAUAUGCCAUGUUGAGCAACGAACUUGCAGAAAAAGCCCUAAAUUGAGGCAAAUGAAAGGAGAAGAUCUCCAAGGACUUGACCUCAAAGGGCUCGACAAGCUAGAGGCUGUGAUUGAAUCUGGAUUGGUUGAAGUAGUUAAAACAAAGGAAUGAUCUGAGCUACAAUUGUAUGUCCUUUAGAUGUGAUCAUGAGCAUGUUUUAGAGGUG